rnacentral:rRNA from 1 species
GAGUUUGAUCAUGGCUCAGAACGAACGCUGGCGGCAGGCCUAACACAUGCAAGUCGAGCGCCCUCGCAAGAGGGAGCGGCGGACGGGUGAGUAACGCGUGGGAAUUUUCCUCAAGGUACGGAACAACUCAGGGAAACUUGGGCUAAUACCGUAUGAUGUCUAGCGACCAAAGAUUUAUCGCCUUGGGAUAAGCCCGCGUCAGAUUAGGUAGUUGGUGGGGUAACGGCCUACCAAGCCUGCGAUCUGUAGCUGGUCUGAGAGGACGAUCAGCCACAUUGGGACUGAGACACGGCCCAAACUCCUACGGGAGGCAGCAGUGGGGAAUCUUGCGCAAUGGGCGAAAGCCUGACGCAGCCAUGCCGCGUGAAUGAUGAAGGUCUUAGGAUUGUAAAGUUCUUUCGCCCGUGACGAUGAUGACGGUAACGGGAGAAGAAGCCCCGGCUAACUUCGUGCCAGCCGCCGCGGUAAUU